UACGUAGGGGGCAAGCGUUGUCCGGAAUCAUUGGGCGUAAAGCGCGCGUAGGCGGUCCGAUAAGUCUGCUGUGAAAGUCGGGGGCUCAACCCUCGGAUGCCGGUGGAUACUGUCGGGCUUGAGUGCGGAAGAGGCGAGUGGAAUUCCUGGUGUAGCGGUGAAAUGCGCAGAUAUCAGGAGGAACCCCGGUGGCGAAGGCGGGUCUCUGGGCCGAUACUGACGCUGAGGAGCGAAAGCGUGGGAGCGAACAGG
rnacentral:rRNA from 1 species